rnacentral:rRNA from 1 species
GACAGAGGGUGCAAACGUUGUUCGGAUUUACUGGGCUUAAAGAGUCCGUAGGCGGCAUGUUAGGUGAGGUGUGAAAUCCCCCGGCUCAACCGAGGAAUUGCGCUUCAAACCGGCGUGCUUGAGGAAGAUAGAGGUGGGCGGAACUGAUGGUGGAGCGGUGAAAUGCGUUGAUAUCAUCAGGAACACCGGAGGCGAAAGCGGCCCACUGGGUCUUUUCUGACGCUGAGGGACGAAAGCUAGGGGAGCGAACGGG